rnacentral:rRNA from 1 species
AUGUUAGGAAGGCAAAUCCGCCGAAUUU